rnacentral:tRNA from 1 species
GGAGUUGAUGCUUGUUGGUUGGCGUGUUAGCUGUUAACUAAUUUUUGUGGGAUCGAGGCCCUCCGACUCCU